ensembl:lncRNA
AAAUGGGCUCCACCUUGUCUUAAAGGAACCAGUGAAUGUUGAUACAUCACUUGCAAAAUGAGUUGCGAAAUCCAGUCACUUGAAAUGCAUGAAACUUGGACACAUUGACACCAAAAGAAAAAAUAACAAGAAGGAAUGUGCAAAGAGAACCAAGUUAAAUUCAAGAACUCUGGCCCAGCAUAAAAGUGCACAGCUUUCCUGAGUAUCCAGUGUGUCCGCUGAUAUUUUAGUGGAUUCGAAGUGGUCCAGACCCUCCGCUAAGCUCCUACGGGGAAGACAGCACUUGGACAACAGUCAUAGCCAAUGGAGGCGAUGGAGCCGGAAUAACAACUUUCUCUAUUAAAUGGUCAUUAUGAAACAAAAAGGAGGCAUCACUCUUUAACAUGGUCCAGAUGAUAGCAGCAUCUCCCCUGCUGGGCUGUUCUGUCGUUCUGCUGGAUAUAAUUCAAUG